rnacentral:rRNA from 1 species
GAUGAACGCUGGCGGCGUGCCUAAUACAUGCAAGUCGAGCGAACAGAUGAGGAGCUUGCUCCUCUGACGUUAGCGGCGGACGGGUGAGUAACACGUGGAUAACCUACCUAUAAGACUGGGAUAACUUCGGGAAACCGGAGCUAAUACCGGAUAAUAUAUUGAACCGCAUGGUUCAAUAGUGAAAGACGGUUUUGCUGUCACUUAUAGAUGGAUCCGCGCCGCAUUAGCUAGUUGGUAAGGUAACGGCUUACCAAGGCAACGAUGCGUAGCCGACCUGAGAGGGUGAUCGGCCACACUGGAACUGAGACACGGUCCAGACUCCUACGGGAGGCAGCAGUAGGGAAUCUUCCGCAAUGGGCGAAAGCCUGACGGAGCAACGCCGCGUGAGUGAUGAAGGUCUUCGGAUCGUAAAACUCUGUUAUUAGGGAAGAACAAAUGUGUAAGUAACUAUGCACAUCUUGACGGUACCUAAUCAGAAAGCCACGGCCAACUACGUG